UGAGGAAUACUGGUCAAUGGGCGAGAGCCUGAACCAGCCAAGUAGCGUGCAGGGACGACGGCCCUAUGGGUUGUAAACUGCUUUUAUACGGGAAUAAAGUGAUGCCUGCGGGCGUUAUUGCAUGUACCGUACGAAUAAGGACCGGCUAAUUCCGUGCCAGCAGCCGCGGUAAUACGGAAGGUCCGGGCGUUAUCCGGAUUUAUUGGGUUUAAAGGGAGCGUAGGGCUGUCCUUUAAGCGUGUUGUGAAAUGUAGGCGCUCAACGCCUGCACUGCAGCGCGAACUGCCCAGCUUGAGUGCGCGCAACGUUGGCGGAAUUCGCCGUGUAGCGGUGAAAUGCUUAGAUAUGGCGAAGAACUCCGAUUGCGAAGGCAGCUGACGGGUGCGUA
rnacentral:rRNA from 1 species